UUUAAGUGUGAACAUAUUUUAUCCUGCUAAUUCAAACAUGUUCAAAAUCACAAUUCAUUUCACUCUGAAUAAUACCUUUUUAGGAGCAUUUUUACAAUGCAGAAGAUGGGAGUGGGUAUCUGGCUUGGAGAUUGAAGUUUGUCCAAAAGGAAGCUUCUGGUGGACAAAAGAAGGCCAUGAGACUCUUAAGAACACAAAUGGGGGGCCCAUCAGCUGAAAGAGACUUGAGGGAGGACAAUCCCCUAAUGACAGACAGCUUGUUUUCUGAGGCCAUUGCACUGAUGAAGCAUACAGCUGAUGAAGGGAUUGUUAUGACGAAGAUGAAGCAGACCUUCAACUAUCGCCAAAAGAUCAUUCAUGAUCCAGUGAAGUCCUCUGAUGUCUUUCUGGCCUUCCCAAGAUUCCUGGACAUACAAGGAUUAAUUGAGCAAGAUUUUAUUUUGAUGUUUGAUGAUUCCAUCUCUGCAAAGUUCCUGGAGAAGUGGCCCACAAUUUACAAGAAAAAAGUCCUUGAACAAAGCCGUGGUCUCACACAGUCGGAUGAUCUGCAGUACCUCGUCCAGAAUGCUGAAUCCACAACAGAAGU